rnacentral:lncRNA from 1 species
AAAGAUGUGAAAGUUGUAUGGAGAUUUUUUUUUAAAUUCUGACAAACAUUGUGAAUUUUGUUAGUACUUCUGCUAAGCGCUUUAAUGAGUUAAACUUAAUUCGAAAAACUGAACUCAAGGAGUUGUUGGAUUAUGGGGAACUUGAGACAGGUAAAGGACUUAAUCAAGCUCGUACUUUGAAACGAGCUGGAGCAACUCGUUGGGGAUCUCAUUUUAUCUGUAUUACAAGUUUGAUGAGUCUAUUUAAAGAGACUAAAUUACUUCUUUUGGAAAUCAGUGAUCAUGGACCUAACCAACAGUUUCGUGGUGAUGCAAAGAGUAAGUAUAUUGCUAUGAUAUCUUUUGAGUUGGUGUUUUGAUUGGUUUUGAUGGAAAAAAAUUAUGGGAUUGACCAAUUUUCUUUGUCAAGCAUUUCAGACGAAAACUCAAGACAUUGUAAGUGCUUUAAAUUUUGUUGAGAACACAAAAAUGCAACUUGAAGAUAUGAGGGAACAUGGUUGGGAUGAUUUAUUCAUGAGU